rnacentral:rRNA from 1 species
AGCAGCCGCCGCGGUAACACAGAGGGUGCGAGCGUUAAUCGGAUUUACUGGGCGUAAAGCGUGCGUAGGCGGCUUCUUAAGUCGGAUGUGAAAUCCCUGAGCUUAACUUAGGAAUUGCAUUCGAUACUGGGAAGCUAGAGUAUGGGAGAGGAUGGUAGAAUUCCAGGUGUAGCGGUGAAAUGCGUAGAGAUCUGGAGGAAUACCGAUGGCGAAGGCAGCCAUCUGGCCUAAUACUGACGCUGAGGUACGAAAGCAUGGGGAGCAAACAGGAUUAGAUACCCCGGUAGUCCCUGUCUCUUAUAC